rnacentral:rRNA from 1 species
UACGAAGGGUGCAAGCGUUACUCGGAAUUACUGGGCGUAAAGCGUGCGUAGGUGGUUUGUUAAGUCUGAUGUGAAAGCCCUGGGCUCAACCUGGGAACGGCAUUGGAAACUGGCUUACUAGAGUGCGGUAGAGGGGUGUGGAAUUCCCGGUGUAGCAGUGAAAUGCGUAGAUAUCAGGAGGAACACCGGCGGCGAAGGCGGCACUCUGGGCCGGUACUGACGCUGAGGAGCGAAAGCGUGGGUAGCAAACAGG